AACAAGACAAAGGGUUCAGAAACAGGGGAUACAAAUGCUUAGAGACUUCUGUUGGAAAAGCAUUUGGAAAGGAGUCUAGUUUAGAGAGGCGAGGAAUAGGAAGGAACAUGACUGAAAUAUAGACCAUAAUGAAUGGGCCGGCUCCAGGGCUUUUACUGCCCCAAGCAGCAAAACAAAACAAAUCGCAAUCUGCUGCUCUACCACCGCUGCUUCAGUCUUCGGUGGCAAUUUGGUGGCUGGUUCUUCGCUCCGAGAGGUACCAAGGGACCCGCCACCAAAGAACCUGGACGUGCCGCCCCUCACCGUUGGCCACCCCAAGCAGCUGCUUGCUGGGCUGGUGCCUGGAGCCGUCCCUGAUUUUUACACACCAUAGCCUGUGGAACACGUAGUCACAGUCUUAUGACCAUGAGGUCAGUUCAUCGACUCAAAUGGCAUCUCCAAAAAUAUAAGAAGUGGACAGCAAAUCCUGGAGAGGCCCAUCUUUGACAGUACAACUUCAUUUUGCUUAACGUCUGCCACACACACACACAAGUUUCCCAAAAUGUUUCCAGAAUUAAAGUGACAAGAAUAAAGUAUAGAAGAGGGGAAUGUUAGCGGGUGUAGUCAAG